rnacentral:rRNA from 1 species
UACGUAGGGGGCAAGCGUUGUCCGGAUUUAUUGGGCGUAAAGAGCUCGUAGGUGGUUUGGUUAGUCGGAUAUGAAAUCUCCCGGCUCAACUGGGAGGGUGCGCCGAAUACUGAGAAGCUAGAGUGUGGGAGAGGAAAGUGGAAUUCCUGGUGUAGCGGUGAAAUGCGUAGAUAUCAGGAGGAACACCGGUGGUGUAAACGGCUUUCUGGACCAUAACUGACGCUGAGGCACGAAAGCGUGGGUAGCAAACAGG